rnacentral:rRNA from 1 species
GUAACGAGCGCAACCCUUGUCCUUAGUUACCAGCACGUUAUGGUGGGCGACUCUAAGGAGACUGCCGGGUGGACAAACCGGAGGAAAGGUGGGGGAUGACGUCAAGUCAUCAUGGCCCUUACGGCCUGGGCUACACACGUGCUACAAUGGUCGGUACAAAGGGUUGCCAAGCCGCGAGGUGGAGCUAAUCCCAUAAAACCGAUCGUAGUCCGGAUCGCAGUCUGCAACUCGACUGCGUGAGGUCGGAAUCGCUAGUAAUCGUGAAUCAGAAUGUCACGGUGAAUACGUUCCCGGGCCUU